AGAGUUUGAUCCUGGCUCAGAAUCAACGCUGGCGGCGUGCCUCAGACAUGCAAGUCGAACGAUUAAACUUUCCUUCGGGAAAGAUAUAAAGUGGCGCACGGGUGAGUAACACGUAGGUAAUGUACCUUUGGGUGGGGAAUAACUUAGGGAAACUUAAGCUAAUACCGCAUAAUGCGAUAACUUCUUCGGAAGAUUUUGUUAAAGAUUUAUCGCCUAAAGAGCAGCCUGCGGCAGAUUAGCUAGUUGGUAAGGUAACGGCUUACCAAGGCUACGAUCUGUAUCCGACCUGAGAGGGUGGUCGGACACACUGACACUGAAUAACGGGUCAGACUCCUACGGGAGGCAGCAGUCGGGAAUUUUGGGCAAUGGGCGAAAGCCUGACCCAGCAACGCCGCGUGAAGGAUGAAGUCUUUCGGGAUGUAAACUUCGUAAGAAUAGGAAGAAUAAAUGACGGUACUAUUUGUAAGGUCCGGCUAACUACGUGCCAGCAGCCGCGGUAAUACGUAGGGACCAAGCGUUGUUCGGAUUUACUGGGCGUAAAGGGCGCGUAGGCGGCAAUUCAAGUCAGUUGUGAAAUCUCCGAGCUUAACUCGGAACGGUCAACUGAUACUGCUUUGCUAGAGUACAGAAGGGGCAAUCGGAAUUCUUGGUGUAGGCGGCUGAAAUGCGUAGAUAUCAAGAGGAACACCUGAGGUCUGAAAGACGGGUUGCUGGGCUGAUACUGACGCUGAAGGCGCGAAAAGCCUAGGGGUAAGCAAAACGGGAUUAGAUACCCCCGGUA
rnacentral:rRNA from 1 species